rnacentral:rRNA from 1 species
GACGAACGCUGGCGGCGUGCCUAACACAUGCAAGUCGAACGGAAAGGCCCUGCUUUUGUGGGGUGCUCGAGUGGCGAACGGGUGAGUAACACGCGAGUAACCCGCCCUUGACUUUGUGAUAACUCCAGGAAACUGGGGCUAAUACCGGAUAGGAGCUCUUGCUCCACGGUGGGGGUUGGAAAGUUUCGGUGGUUGGGGAUGGUCUCGCGGCUUAUCAGCUGGUUGGUGGGGUAGUGGCUUACAAAGGAUUUGACGGGUAGCCGGCCUGAGAGGGUGACCAGCCACAUGAGGACUGAGGUACGGCCCAGUCGCCUACGGGAGGCAGCGGUGGGAAAUAUUGCACAAUGGGCGGAAGCCUGAUGCAACAACGCCGCGUGCGGAAUAACGGCCUACGGGUUAUAAACCGCUUUCGCCUGUAACGAAGCCUGCGUGACGGUAAUGGGUCAAGAAGCACCGGCUAACUACGUG